CCAAAAUGUCAAAUUAGGUGGGAGGAAAUAUUUGGAACAAAUAUACCUUGGGAAAAUAUGUGGUCGGGAUUGAAAUAUUUGAAAAUUGAAAAUAAAGUAAAAGAAUUCCAAUGGAGAUCCUUGCACAAUAUUUUAUAUACUGAAGAAAGAUUAAAAAAAAUGAAGUUAUCAAAUGGAAAAUGCCACAUUUGUCAAAAUGACAAUAAUAUAGAAACCCUGCAACACUUAUUUUUUAGUUGUUGUACAUCACAGUUAAUUUUAAAAAACCUCCAAGAAAUACUGAUCAAAUCAAACAUAGGAAUAAACAAUCCGUUUGGUGAAAAGGACGUGUUAUUGGGUAAAAACACGGGAGAACUAAAAUAUGAUAAUUUUUUAAACAUAAUUAUCUUAUAUUUUAAAUGGACACUAUGGAAAAUUAGGAAUUCAAUAAAAUUUAACAAAACGCCUAAAACACCACAAGAUAUUUAUAAAAUCUGGAAACAAAACUUGAAAAUUAAUCUUAAAUUUGUUCUUCUUUUGAAAGGCGUUGAUAUCAUUGAUAAGACAAAAUUG
rnacentral:lncRNA from 1 species